GACGAACGCUGGCGGCGUGCCUAAUACAUGCAAGUAGAACGCUGAAGGAGGAGCUUGCUUCUCUGGAUGAGUUGCGAACGGGUGAGUAACGCGUAGGUAACCUGCCUGGUAGCGGGGGAUAACUAUUGGAAACGAUAGCUAAUACCGCAUAAGAGUAGAUGUUGCAUGACAUUUGCUUAAAAGGUGCAAUUGCAUCACUACCAGAUGGACCUGCGUUGUAUUAGCUAGUUGGUGAGGUAACGGCUCACCAAGGCAACGAUACAUAGCCGACCUGAGAGGGUGAACGGCCACACUGGGACUGAGACACGGCCCAGACUCCUACGGGAGGCAGCAGUAGGGAAUCUUCGGCAAUGGACGGAAGUCUGACCGAGCAACGCCGCGUGAGUGAAGAAGGUUUUCGGAUCGUAAAGCUCUGUUGUAAGAGAAGAACGAGUGUGAGAGUGGAAAGUUCACACUGUGACGGUAUCUUACCAGAAAGGGACGGCUAACUACGUG
rnacentral:rRNA from 1 species